rnacentral:tmRNA from 1 species
GAUUGGAUUUGACAGCGAGACGGAUCGGUGCGUAAGCAUGCAGUGAGCCUGGAGGUGGUCACUUAAAUCACGGCCUUCAACAAUUUAACUGGCGAAAACAACUUUGCUCUCGCUGCCUAAUCGAAGUAUAGUAGACCAGGCUUAAUUCCGACACAAGGUGUUGGAACGAGACAUCACCCAAGAGCUCUUGCCCCGAAGCAACUUGACAAGGUGGUGCAGAUAAAUCGGUGCUAGUUUGUGUUGGCCUUGCAACACGAGCGAACUUUUUAAAGGAUAAGGUGUUGGUUGGUGGCGUAGGUCUUGCCAACACUCGAAAAUCAAGUCUACGAUAAGCAUGUAGAAAGCGUAUUGCUCCCUUGUUUGGACGAGGGUUCGAGCCCCUCCUGGUCCACU